GGGUGCGGUCAUACCAGCACUAAUGCACCGGAUCCCAUCAGAACUCCGAAGUUAAGCGUGCUUGGGCAAGAGUAGUACUAGGAUGGGUGACCUCUUGGGAAGUCCUUGUGUCGCACCCC
rnacentral:rRNA from 1 species